rnacentral:rRNA from 1 species
GUGUCAGCAGCCGCGGUAAUACGAAGGGGGCUAGCGUUGUUCGGAAUUACUGGGCGUAAAGCGCUCGCAGGCGGAUCGAUAAGUCAGGGGUGAAAUCCCGGGGCUCAACCUCGGAAUUGCCUUUGAUACUGUCAAUCUCGAGUCCGGGAGAGGUGAGUGGAAUUCCUAGUGUAGAGGUGAAAUUCGUAGAUAUUAGGAAGAACACCAGUGGCGAAGGCGGCUCACUGGCCCGGAACUGACGCUCAUGAGCGAAAGCGUGGGGAGCAAACAGGAUUAGAAACCCCCGUAGUCC